rnacentral:rRNA from 1 species
UACGUAGGGGGCGAGCGUUGUCCGGAUUCAUUGGGCGUAAAGCGCUUUAAGGCGGUUCGGUAAGUCGGGGUGUGAAACCUCCAGGCUCAACCUGGAGACGCCACUCGAUACUGCUGUGACUAGAGUUCGGUAGGGGAUCACGGAAUUCCGUGGCGUAGCGGUGAAAUGCGCAGAUAUCAGGAGGAACACCGGUGGCGAAGGCGGUGAUCUGGGCCGACACUGACGCUGAGGAGCGAAAGCGUGGGGAGCAAACAGG